rnacentral:rRNA from 1 species
UACAGGGGGAGCAAGCGUUGUUCGGAUUUAUUGGGCGUAAAGCGCGCGCAGGUGGCAUGGCAAGUAAGGUGUGAAAUCUCCCUGCUCAACGGGGAGGGAGCGCUUUAGACUGCCAAGCUAGAGGACGGUAGAGGGGGGUGGAAUUGCUGGUGUAGCGGUGAAAUGCGUAGAGAUCAGCAGGAACACCCGUGGCGAAGGCGGCCCCCUGGGCCGUACCUGACGCUGAGGCGCGAAGGCUAGGGGAGCGAAUGGG